UACAGAGGUCCCAAGCGUUGUUCGGAUUCAUUGGGCGUAAAGGGUGCGUAGGUGGCGCCGUAAGUCGGGUGUGAAAUUUCGGAGCUUAACUCCGAAACUGCAUUCGAUACUGCCGUGCUUGAGGACUGGGGAGGAGACUGGAAUUCAUGGUGUAGCAGUGAAAUGCGUAGAGAUCAUGAGGAAGACCAGUGGCGAAGGCGGGUCUCUGGACAGUUCCUGACACUGAGACACGAAGGCCAGGGGAGCAAACGGG
rnacentral:rRNA from 1 species